UACGUAGGGGGCAAGCGUUGUCCGGAAUCAUUGGGCGUAAAGCGCGUGUAGGCGGUCCGGUAAGUCCGCUGUGAAAGUCGGGGGCUUAACCCUCGGAUGCCGGUGGAUACUGUCGGGCUUGAGUACGGAAGAGGCGAGUGGAAUUCCUGGUGUAGCGGUGGAAUGCGUAGAGAUCCGGAAGAACACCGGUGGCGAAGGCGGUGAGCUGGGCAGUUGCUGACACUGAGGCGCGAAAGCGUGGGGAGCGAACCGG
rnacentral:rRNA from 1 species